rnacentral:rRNA from 1 species
AUUGAACGCUGGCGGCAGGCCUAACACAUGCAAGUCGAGCGGAUGAAGGGAGCUUGCUCCUGGAUUCAGCGGCGGACGGGUGAGUAAUGCCUAGGAAUCUGCCUGGUAGUGGGGGAUAACGUCCGGAAACGGGCGCUAAUACCGCAUACGUCCUGAGGGAGAAAGUGGGGGAUCUUCGGACCUCACGCUAUCAGAUGAGCCUAGGUCGGAUUAGCUAGUUGGUGGGGUAAAGGCCUACCAAGGCGACGAUCCGUAACUGGUCUGAGAGGAUGAUCAGUCACACGGGAACUGAGACACGGUCCAGGCUCCUACGGGAGGCAGCAGUGGGGAAUAUUGGACAAUGGGCGAAAGCCUGAUCCAGCCAUGCCGCGUGUGUGAAGAAGGUCUUCGGAUUGUAAAGCACUUUAAGUUGGGAGGAAGGGCAGUAAGUUAAUACCUUGCUGUUUUGACGUUACCAACAGAAUAAGCACCGGCUAACUUCGUG